AUCGCUUCUCGGCCUUUUGGCUAAGAUCAAGUGUAAAAUCUUAUCAUGUAAUGGUCAAAUUGGAUUAUAUAAAUUUUGUUAUUCAUAUAAGGCUUCCAUUAACAGAACUUUGGUUCUCUGUUUAAAGAAAUUAAAUCAUGGCCAGUAAUAGCACCGAGGUCAUGUAAAAUUAAAU
ensembl:snRNA U2 U2 spliceosomal RNA